UGUUGCUCUUUAGUUGGUUUGAUGGACCUGUUGUGCUCCUUAAGGCUCUAUUCUUGUCCACCAAUAGAACUAAAUGUAAAACAUCAACAAGGACAGAAUCUGCCUCCAAUUGCUCAACAUCUAGACGAAAUUCGCAGCAUUUGAAUGGUCCACUGACUUCUAUGUUUUAUCCUGGCAUGAACCUUUAGCAAGUAGGUCACAUAAGCAUGUUAUGUAAUUGUUUCCACUUUUAUCCAGUUAUGGUUCAGAUUAGCAUCUUGUCAGAUGAUUUUUCUAAUUUGAUAAUUUUUCUGAUUUAAUCAUUUCUGUCUAAUAAGUCCUCAUUAAUGUCAGUUUUGAUUGACAAUUGAAGCUAAAAUAAAGAAACAUUACAGCAGCCAUUGACUGUAAUUGUACCAUAGAGUGGUGCCAUGAGAAGCCCAAAAGUUUCAACUACUGAGAAAGAUAGAGUAACAUAAUUAACUGAAUUCAGCGGUUUAGCUUGUUGUUGCACACAUGCAUGUCAUUGAACACACUGAACUUAACUAGGGUCAAUGUGUUUAUAAGAUUGAAUGUUGAACUUUGAUGUUCUUCUUUAACAGGUUCUGAUCCAAACAACAGGUGAUUGGAAAAAAAAAAGAAACCUAUAUUUAAGUGAACUCAGUUACUUCCGAGAUAAGUCAACUUGGAUGAAUACAUUGGAAGCUUCAACCUCAGUGGUCAAGAAGAGAAACCUGAGGUUUUGAGAGGCUGCUGAAUUAGUUGACCUAGAUCAGUUCUAAUUUAAAAAUGCAAAACUUUAAAAUGGUUUAGAAGAGCAUGUGUCCAUUAAGGUAAGUGUGAG